ensembl:lncRNA
CAGCCACAGCCCCAUAGCUUUCAGAGCCAGGCCCAGAACCAGCUGCAGCCCCGCAGCUUUCAAGGCCAGGCUUAUCCCCAGGCGCAGCCACAGCCUCGCAGCUUUCAGGGCCAUCUCCAGGUACAGACGCAGCCACAGCCUCGCAGCUUCCAGGGCCAUCUCCAGGUACAGACGCAGCCACAGCCUCGCAGCUUUCACGGCCAUCCCCAGGUCCGUCCCCAGACCCAGCUUCGUAGCCAUGAAGUCCAUCCUGAGACCCAGCUGCUGACCCAGCCACAGCCUCGCAGCAAUCAGGGCCAUCCCCAUGCCCAGCUGAAGUCCCAAAUGCAGCCCAGCAGCUUUCAGGGCCAUGCCCAUCCUCGGGCCCAAAUCCAGACCCAGCUGCGGCCUCGCAGCUUUCAGGGCCAGGGCCAUCCCAAGGCCCAGACCCAGCUGCAGUCUCUCAGCUCUCAGCCUGAAGGCUAUCAGGCUGACUCACUGCCACAACCUCAUAGUUCUCCGGCUCAGCCCCAAGACCAGCUGCAUGCUAGCAGUUCUCAGUCGCGGGGCCACCUAAAGCCUCGCAGUCAUCAUGCUCAGGCCAAGACACAGCCUCAUAGUUAUCCAGCAUAUCCACAUGCCCAUUCUUACUAUCAGACUCAAAUCCCAAUACAGGCACGCAGCUAUCAAAUGCGUCCUCGGAUGAUGCGUUACCAGCACAGACCUCAUCUUCAGCCUUGGGUCAGGACAACUGGCACAAACCACCAGAUUCUGCAAGGGGCUUAACCGAAGAGGGCCAACAUCAGAAGAUGGAUCAUUAACUGCAUGGAUACAAUUAAACUGAUCUUUAGGGGAAAUGUAAAUAAAUCUUUCUAGAUGAGUCUGUGUGUGGGCUAGCUUAUUUAUACUUUAUAGUAAUAUCUCACGGUUGUGAGAGCAGGUGGUGCAUGUUUCAAAUUUUUAGCUCAAACUGAAGCCAUUCAUGUGCAGCACUACGGCAGGCAAAGAAGAUCUGCUCUGAAAGCACAGGUGAUGCGUAAUGACCUGCUCUUCAUUUUGCUGGUGACCCAGUUCAACUGGAACUUUUUUUCUUUCUUUUCUUUUUUAAAGGGUGGGGGGACCCAGGCAAAGAACCCUACUGUACAGAACUUAAACAAAAUAGAGACUUUAACAUUGGUUCUGCAUAUAGAGCCAAAGUUUACAUUUUUUUUUUUUUCAGCAUGUAACUGAAAACGUAUGAAAUCUUGAAUACUUUUUUGCACCUUUUAUUUCCAGAUUGCUUUUAACUUAAAAGAGAAAAUCCAACUGAUUCAGAGCAGUAUUCAGUCUGGUUACUAGAUAAAGUCAGAUUUUUGAUGUGCACCAGAGACAAAUGAGUCUCAGGUGCACAUCUAAAUUCACUGGGUAACUGCAAGAAGAGAGAAAACAGGCCUUCAUGGAAAACUGCUGCAUGCAGUGCACUCGCAAUGCUUAACUCCCAUGUUCCUUUUCAACAACCAGCAAAGCGACCAAAUUCAUCUCUUUAUCAGUUAAGUAUCCUCCAGGAGGUAUGGAUAGAACAUAGGUGGUAGAAAUAAGAUUGUUCAUUAUAAGCUUUGAAAAUGUGCAUGUCUCUGAUAAUUCCCUUGACUGAUGAAAUGCUGUUUGUCCAAAUUGUGGUUUUGGUGGAUCUUGUUAAAUUGCUUUGAGAUGUGGAGACUGCAGGCCUGUGACUAAUUCCAUUUUGUUUGGCAAUCCCUCCAAGUCCUUAGCAGAGGCAUUCCAUGUUUUUGAACUUCACAGCACAUUUAAUCUAUCAACUGUUUCCUAUCCAGCAUACAGUGUUCCUACACGUCCAUGCUUAUGUUCUGCCAUUAGGUGGCACCAUCUGACAUGAAACUUGAGACUGUCAUGGACAUGUUGGGACUAAAAGACAAAUACUGCUGGGACUAGAACAUUUUAGUUUAGUUUUUUUUUUUUUUAAACUAUAAAACCAGUUUCCCUUAAAUGGCAAAUGUCAGGAUAGAUUCUUUAAGGAACUGCUUUCUAGAAAGUUGCUUUUAACUGAAAUGACUUUACGCUGUCUCAGAAGUAUAACUUGUGCUAUAAUGAUAUAUUAGAAUGAGUUAAAAUUCUUCUAUAUCUCCUGUUUAAAAUGACAGUCACAUUUUAAGGUUUUAAAGUAACAACAAAGUAACACGUAAUGACAGCUGCAGCUUAAAAGUUAUAUAAUUUCCGGUCACACUAAUGCUCAGACGUGUGUGUGUGUGUGUGUGUGUAUGUAUGUAUGUAUGUAUGUAAAUUAAAAGGUUAAAAAAAU